rnacentral:rRNA from 1 species
UCAAUAAGCGGAGGAAAAGAAACCAACUGGGAUUGCCCUAGUAACGGCGAGUGAAGCGGCAACAGCUCAAAUUUGAAAUCUGGCUCUUAUAGGGUCCGAGUUGUAAUUUGUAGAGGGUGCUUUAGCGUUGGCAGCGGCCUAAGUUCCUUGGAACAGGACAUCACAGAGGGUGAGAAUCCCGUAUGUGGUCGCUAGCUCUCGCUUUGUAAAGCCCCUUCAACGAGUCGAGUUGUUUGGGAAUGCAGCUCUAAAUGGGAGGUAAAUUUCUUCUAAAGCUAAAUACUGGCCAGAGACCGAUAGCGCACAAGUAGAGUGAUCGAAAGAUGAAAAGCACUUUGGAAAGAGAGUCAAACAGCACGUGAAAUUGUUGAAAGGGAAGCGCUUGCCGCCAGACUUGCCUGUAGUUGCUCAUCUGGGCAUUUUGCCCUGUGCAUUCUUCUGCAGGCAGGCCAGCAUCAGUUUGGACAGCCGGAUAAGGGUCUCUGUCAUGUAUCUUUCUUCGGAAUGACCUUAUAGGGGAGGCGUAGUACGGCUAGUCUAGACUGAGGUCCGCGCUUUUGCUAGGAUGCUGGCAUAAUGGCUGUAAGCGGCCCGUCUUGAAACACGGACCAAGGAGUCUAACAUCUAUGCGAGUGUUUGGGUGUCAAGCCCGGGCGCGUAAUAAAAGUGAACGGAGGUGGGAACCUUUUGGGUGCACCAUCGACCGAUCCUGAUGUCUUCGGAUGGAUUUGAGUAAGAGCAUAGCUGUUGGGACCCGAAAGAUGGUGAACUAUGCUUGAAUAGGGUGAAGCCAGAGGAAACUCUGGUGGAGGCUCGCAGCGGUUCUGACGUGCAAAUCGAUCGUCCA